UUGCAGGAUAAGUUACAGAGCAGCUUGUGUAGUGCUGUACUGUCGUUCCCCCUGCACACAGUAACCUGUUACCUACUAUCCCUGUCUGUCUCUAUCCCACGGCUGGCAGGGACGCUUGGUCUCAGACAC